GGGAACAGAUGUCAUACGCAUGUA
rnacentral:siRNA from 1 species